rnacentral:rRNA from 1 species
GGGGCCCGCACAAGCGGUGGAGCAUGUGGUUAAUUCGAAGCAACGCGAAGAACCUUACAGGUCUUGACAUCCCGAUGCUAUUUCUAGAGAUAGAAAGUUACUUCGGUACAUCGGUGACAGGUGGUGCAUGGUUGUCGUCAGCUCGUGUCGUGAGAUGUUGGGUUAAGUCCCGCAACGAGCGCAACCCCAAUUGUUAGUUGCCAUCAUUCAGUUGGGCACUCUAGCGAGACUGCCGGUAAUAAACCGGAGGAAGGUGGGGAUGACGUCAAAUCAUCAUGCCCCUUAUGACCUGGGCUACACACGUGCUACAAUGGUUGGUACAACGAGUUGCGAGUCGGUGACGGCGAGCUAAUCUCUUAAAGCCAAUCUCAGUUCGGAUUGUAGGCUGCAACUCGCCUACAUGAAGUCGGAACCGCUAGUAAUCGCGGAUCAGCACGCCGCGGUGAAUACGUUCCCGGGCCUU